UUCAGAUGAUGAUAUUCAAUUUGGCCUGACAUAACGUGGAGGCAAAAAACUGAUUUAAUGAGACUGAUGA